GAAAAGCUGAGAAUAGCUAAGAACAUGAACUCACUCUUUAAGAAUGGAAGAGACAAUCAACUUGUGAUUGAAUCCUCUCAGCAAAAUAAUCUACACAACCAUCUGAAUCUAGAGAGAUUAAGUGGCUGUGAGAUUGAUACAAUAAUUAGAAUUAAACUAAGAACAGAUUAAAGACUCUAGUUUGAAUCUAUUCCUUGAGAAGUGACACAACACUUUCAGUUUGUUCACUUAAGGAGAAUAGGAAAUAGAAUCAGUAAGCUAGAGUUUAAGAGAAGAUAAAGAAGAGUUUAAACUGAUUUUAGAGUAGAAUGGGCAAGCAUAAUCUGCCCUUAGGCAGACCCAAAACAUGUAUACCUUAACUCCCUACAUUGUGACUAAUUUAAAGAACACUUAGUAAAGAGAUGAGUUAUACACGAAAUUUAUGAAUGCUUGUCUCUUAUUUCUUGUGUGUUCAUUACAAUGAGGCUGCCUCUUUAUUUAUAGAGGAGAGCCUUAGGUUUUACAGCAGCAGCAACAAGACAAAGGAGAGAUUAAACUAAUACUAUCCUAGGAAAUGAAUAAACAAAGCUAUUAGGAAGCAGCCAAGGAGGAUGAGAACAGGAAGAGGCACGACCAGAUGAAGAGAAAGGGACAGGAGAGAGGUUGCACAGCUUGCUUAAGUGAAAGUGACAGGCCAGUUGCUUCUCCAAAGCACCACAUGUGACUUUCCUUGCUUCAAUUCAAACCAGAUCUUUUCCCUUGACUCUCCAACGGUCAUAAGCUUGUUUAAACUUCAAAUCUGCUUCAGAAUAUCAAGCUGGACGAGCUCACUACUUUCCUUGCCUUCCAAGUCACUCUAGGUUAAGCUUGGUUACUUGGAAGCCAAGACUGUACGGACUGCCUUGUACAGCAAGGUUGUAUGUACCAGACUCUGUUCAAGUACCUCUUCUUCUCUUGUUUCAUUUGUUGGCUCCUUUCCUUGAUGCACAAGUCUUGAAUACUUGCAACACACUUCAUGACUCUACAGCCUCCUUCUCUUCUUGCACACACGCCUUGAUCAUCUUUUCAUUGUCUUGGCCGUGUGAUCACUCUCUUGAGGCUUGUUCAUGGCUAGGAUAGCUUCUUCUUCUUUAGUUUGAUGUGGAGAUGCUUGGCCUUCACUUCCUUUGUUUGGCCUUCACAUCUCCUUGUCUUGCUUCACUUUAAUACCCUCCCUCAAGGUUGGGCUUUGGAAGCCAUUGGUUCCAAAGGCCAAGCUUGCAACACGCAAAUGACUACCUCAUUGAAAACCUCACCAUGUAAAACCACUUGGGAUAAAACCAUGAUGAGGACAAAAAGAGUAUAGCCUUCACGGUGCAAUGGAUAGCUAUGACCUUGGCUUUAUUUGAAGUGAGCUUGAAGCUUCUUUGAUCUAUGAUCUGAAUGCGGCUUGAACUUGUCUUUGAACCGCCAAAAGGACUCAUGGCUUGAGCCAUGAUCUGAACUGAUUGCUUAGGGUGUUGACGCCAUGAUUUGAACUUGUGCAACACCUCUUUCUUCUUGAUGCUUCACAUGAAGCCUACUGACCCUUAGCUAACAUCUUGCUGGUGAGUUGAUUCAUCACUUUCCUACAGCCACUUCUCCUCAAGAUCUUGUCUUGGGUCCAUGAAUCUGAGGCCAUUGGUUCUAACCCCCAAAGCUUGCUUCUGAUGCUGCUCUAGAUCAACCGAACUUGCAUUGUCUUCUUGAGACAACCAAGCACAAACACCAAUCACCAUUCUUAAACUUAGAACCUGUCGAGUAUGGACAGAUUCAAAGCACAAAAUUAGUGAGUGAUGGAGAGAAUAAAUAACAGAAGUAUGAGAGAAUAUUAGAGAAUAAUGGAGAGUAAGAGUAUGGUAGAGAAUGAGAGUUUUGCGGAAGCAGAUUGCAGUCCAUGGCCUUCAAGCUUCAUGGCUGAUCACAAUGCUGGUGAGGCAUGAACAUACCACCAGUUAACACAUUUUUAAAGCAUUUUCGAAAUCAGAUUACUCAAGAAUCUGUUCAAAACAUUUUAAGAUUUUUUUUUUUUUUAAAUCCUUUCAAAGAGCAUUUCUUUAAAUCUGAAAUUCAAAUGCUCUUACAAAUCAAUUUUCUUCAAAUCAUCAUCAAUCUUUCUCCCUCCCUCAAGCAUUGGUUUCAUUAGACAUAAAGUCUUUUACCAAGUUUGAAAAUAUUAAGAGACAAAGGGUAGAAAAGGAUGAUAAUGUUUGAGACAAACCAGCAAGAACUUCAUCUUUUAAAACUGUUUUUAAAGCACAAAAAGAUGACGUCUUUUGUUUCAUUUCCCUCCCUUAGCCUUGGAUUAGGAUCCCAACUCAAGAUCAGAACCACAGCUUACACAUGGGAGAGAAGAAACCAAAACAGAACUCCAUCUUGUCUUCUUUAAAGAAAUCAUUAGACAAGAUGAAGAACACAAAAUAUUUUUGAAAUCGAUUUUUUUUUUUUUUCAAGAGUUCUUCAAGAUACAAGUUUAAUCUUUUCUCCCUCCCUCAAGCUGACAUGAACAGAUUUUUAAUCUUUCAUCCAAAGGAUUAAACAAUGAGGAGAUAAAGGCGAGAGUCAUUGAUUAAAAAAAAAACAUUAAAGCGUUGCAUCUUAAAGAAACUCACAGAUUUUGAAUACAUACUUCAUCUACACUCUCUACUGUCCAAGUUUUGAAUCCCAGCCACACAGCUCAUCAAAAACGAAUUUAAAGGAGAAAGAGAGAGAGAGAUUCAGAUGAAGAAAUUGACAAAAGAAGUGAGUUCAGCCCAAGAAGAGCAACAAAGCUCUGAUACCAUGUUGGAAAAGCUGAGAAUAGCUAAGAACAUGAACUCACUCUUUAAGAAUGGAAGAGACAAUCAACUUGUGAUUGAAUCCUCUCAGCAAAAUAAUCUACACAACCAUCUGAAUCUAGAGAGAUUAAGUGGCUGU